rnacentral:rRNA from 1 species
GACGAACGCUGGCGGCGUGCUUAACACAUGCAAGUCGAACGGAAAGGCCCUGCUUUGGUUGGGCGCUCGAGUGGCGUACGGGUGAGUAACACGUGAGUAGCCUGCCCUUGACGUUGGGAUAACCUCAGGAAACUGGGGCUAAUAUCGGAUAGGUGCUCCUGCUACUUGGUGGGGGUUUGAACGUUUCGGUGGUUGGGGAUCGACUCGCCGGUUAUCAGCUUGUUGGUGGGGUAUUGGCUUUCCAAGGCUUUGACGGGUAGCCGAACUGAGAGGGAGACCGGCAACACUGCGACUGACAUGCGACACAGACCCCUAGAGUAGCCAACAGUGGAAAAUAUUGCACAAUGGGCGGCAGCCUUAUGCAACACAGCAACGUCCGGAUAGAAAGCCUUCGAGUUGUAAUCAGAUUUCGCCUGUGACGAAACGUUAAUGACGGUAAUGGGUAAAGAAGCACCGGCUAACUACGAG